ACGAACGCUGGCGGCGUGCUUAACACAUGCAAGUCGAACGGAAAGGCCCUGCUUUUGUGGGGUGCUCGAGUGGCGAACGGGUGAGUAACACGUGAGUAACCUGCCCUUGACUUUGGGAUAACUUCAGGAAACUGGGGCUCAUACCGGAUAGGAGCUCCUGCUGCAUGGUGGGGGUUGGAAAGUUUCGGCGGUUGGGGAUGGACUCGCGGCUUAUCAGCUUGUUGGUGGGGUAGUGGCUUACCAAGGCUUUGACGGGUAGCCGGCCUGAGAGGGUGACCGGCCACAUUGGGACUGAGAUACGGCCCAGACUCCUACGGGAGGCAGCAGUGGGGAAUAUUGCACAAUGGGCGGAAGCCUGAUGCAGCAACGCCGCGUGCGGGAUGACGGCCUUCGGGUUGUAAACCGCUUUCGCCUGUGACGAAGCGUGAGUGACGGUAAUGGGUAAAGAAGCACCGGCUAACUACGUG
rnacentral:rRNA from 1 species